AUCAACCAUAAAAAUAAAAAUAAAAACUGGAGAAAAAUAUUGUAUAAUUCCACGGUAAGAACUAACCCGAAAAUACUAAAAUGCGAUGGCUUUGAGAAUCUUCAAAGCUAAUUUAGAAUCUCCUCAUUCCUUAGUAGUACAGGUUACAAGCGUUGCACAUGCAUUCGACUAGUCACAAAAUAGCCACAUUAUGCUGCAAAAACUAAUUAAAUGAUCUUCAAUGAAGGGAGAAUAUUCCAUCAAACAUACCUGCCGAUGGCAGCCAUUGGAGUAGCAUCAUAGUAGUAGUUUGAGUUGUAGGAAGAAUACUCCGGCAAUGCCCUCCUUAACGGAGAGUGUUGGUAUGAAUUGGGCCAUAUGCCUCCUGGCAAAGCUGUCCGGUGCCCAUAUGCUUCAGUUAGGGAACUAUAUCGAGGGUACUCAUAACCAUGGCUAGAUUUAUAUGAACAAUUAUCCGAAUCGUUGUAAUAACUUCUUUUAUUUGGUCUUGGAUGAUCGAGUUUGGCCCACACAAGUUCGGCAUGUUGUCCAGUUCUAGACAAUGCUAAUAGGCAUAGAUUCGGAUCUACUUCACCGAUAAUAUUUGCUAUCCCUUCUUCUGC
rnacentral:lncRNA from 1 species